CCUACGGGUGGCAGCAGUGGGGAAUAUUGCACAAUGGGGGAAACCCUGAUGCAGCGAAGCCGCGUGAGUGAAGAAGUAUUUCGGUAUGUAAAGCCCUAUCAGCAGGGAAGAAAAUGACGGUACCUGAUUAAGAAGCCCCGGCUAACUACGUGCCAGCAGCCGCGGUAAUUCGUCGGGGGCAAGCGUUAUCCGGAUUUACUGGGUGUAAAGGGGGCGUUGACGGCAGCGCAAGUCUGAAGGGAAAGGCCGGGGCUUAACCCCGGAACUGCUUUGGAAACUGUGCAGCGAGAGUGCAGGAGAGGUAAGUGGAAUUCGUGGUGUAGCGGUGAAAUGCGUAGAUAUUAGGAGGAACACCAGUGGCGAAGGCGGCUUACUGGACUGUAACUGACGUUGAGGCUCGAAAGCGUGGGGAGCAAACAGGAUUAGAUACCCCUGUAGUC
rnacentral:rRNA from 1 species